rnacentral:rRNA from 1 species
UUUUCUUUUAGCCCCAAAUGCUAAUGUGCUCGUACACCUUUUUAAUUUUGCAAAUUAGAAGUUAAAAUUUUUUCGAAUCUUAAUUUCAAUGUAUUUUUACUUUUCCUCGACAAGGAAAUUAGGAAUUUUUUAUUUUAAAUUUCUUUAAUUCCUUUCGUACUAUAAAGAAAAUAAAUUUUUAUUUUCUAAAAGAUUUAAACCAACCUGGCUCACGCCGGUUUGAACUCAAAUCACGUAGAGUUUAUUUAUUUGGACGAACAGUCCAUAAUUAGUGCAUUCUUCUGCAAUAAAGAAAAAGUUUUUUCCUUUCCUAAUUUGCUCUGGUUCAACAUCGAGGUCAUACUCUUUUCUUAAAAUAAGGUCUUUUAAGAAAAUAUUAUGCUGUUAUCCCUAUAGUAUCUACUUUUUAGAAAUUGAAAAAAAAAAUCUAGAUUAUUCUCUAAUAAAGAGAAUCAUUCUCUUUGUUGCCCCAACAAUAAUUUUUCAAAAUAAUUUUAAUUAAAUCAAGAUUAAAGGGUCUUAUCGUCUUUUUAUUGCUUGGGGGAGAUCUAACCCCCAACUUAUUAAAUUUUUUGAAAUUUAAAGAAAACUUUUCCCUCGUUAACCCAUUCAGACAAUCCGCUAAUUAGGCGGCUAGUAAUUAUGCUACCUUCGCAAAGAGUUUGGCUUUUUUAAAUAAUUUUUUUAUGUGAGCAGGGCCUACUUCAAAAUCCUUUUUAUCGAAGAAAUGUUUUUGUUAAACAGUCGGGGAAAGAUAGUUAUAUUUUAUUUGGUUUAAUUCUUUUAAAUUUUUUUUGAUCUCUAAAGAUUUUUAUUUUAAUCGAUCUAAUAUAAAUGUAUUUUUCUUUUCUACAAAUUUUUUUCCAAUUUUUUGAAAAAUUUUUCUCUUUCAGACUUUAUUUCUAUUUAUCCUCUUCGAUAUUUUUUUCUUUUGUUAAUUUUUUUAAAAGUGAUCGAUAAUCAGAUUUUUAGGUUCGGUUUUCUCUUUUAGAGCUUUCUUUUAUUUUUAUUUCUCUUUUCUAUGGGAAAUUUUAAGCGAAUUUAAUUUAGAUCACCUAAAUUCGGGUCCUUUAGUCGUAAUACAAAAAGACUAUUUUAAAAAAAAAUUUCUAUUUUUCUUUAGUAUGUGUAGAAUACUUAAAUUUAUCAAUUUUUUGAUUUACAGUCAUUUUCAUUUAACAGAUGAAUUUAUUUUCAAUAAAUUUGAUUUGAAGUCAAAGAAACUUAGUCUCCAAAACUAAUUUUGUUAGCUUUUUACAAGAAAGCGCAUU